UAUAAAAUUGUUCAAUAAACAAAAGAUGUCUUUAAAAUGUGUUUGAGAUCUUUUUUCUCAUGAUUCCAUGUUAGGUACAACAACUAUGACCGGGCUGUCAUCAAUACCGUUCCUUAUGAUGUCGUCCAUCGCUGGUAUACAGCACACCGGACUCUAACGACAGAGUUGAGGAGACCUGAGAAUGAGUUUUGGGUCAAACUAAAGCCUGGCAGGGUCCUAUUUAUAGACAACUGGCGUGUCCUACAUGGCAGGGAAUGCUUCACUGGCUACCGCCAACUCUGUGGCUGCUAUUUAACAAGAGAUGAUGUAUUAAGCACUGCUCGCCUCUUGGGGCUUCAGGCUUAAAAUUGACAGCAUCGGGAUUAUGAAUACACCUGGCACCCUGGCUACCAGAAUUUCAUAUGGGCAGAAUAAUAUUGUGUCAAACUCUACUUCAGAUUGUCUCCUUAUCCCAUCCCACAAAAUAGAAUCUGUUCAUUUCUCUAGUAAGGGAGACUUGUUAGAGAGGGGGGACUCUGAGUUACCUAAUGUCAGACAUCUAGUGGGGCAGCUCUCUUCCUCAUGUUAUAACAUCGAUCCACUUGUUUUAUUUAAACCUUUUAAUAUAAUUUUGGUCAGUCUCCUUCAGAAAUAUAAUCUCCAUAUGGAUAGGAAAGCAAUAAUUGCCAUGAGGUAAUGAUUUUUUUUCCCAAGUAGAUCAGUUAGAAAGAAAUGCAUUCUAGAAAUAACAAAAAUCCUGAUAAAGCAACAAUUUGCAAAAUUUUUGGUCUUAGGACACCUUAACACUCUUAAAAGCUAUUGAAGGCCCCAAGGAGUUCUUGGGUGUGAGUUCUAUCAUCUAUUGAUACUAAUUAUUUUAGGUAUUAAGACUGAGAAAUAUUUAAAACUCAGGAAGAACACAGAAGCACACAUCCCUCAGCUAUCAGAGAGAUGACAUAACCAUAUGUCAUGUAGCCUCUGGAAAAGUCCUCCGUAUCCUCAUGAGAUAAUGAGAGGGGGAAAAAAAGCUACUAUUGCCUUUGUAACUUCCACUUAGCCUACUACAGGGCUAUGCACAUCUUAGUUUCUAAAAGUCUGCUUAAUUUCAAAAGAAAAAUGCCUAAUUGAAUGUAACUCAUCUUGGUGUUACUAUACAAAAUAAUUUUUAAUCUGCAGACCCACUAAAAGGGUCUCAGGGACUCCUCCAGGGGUCUUCAGACCAUACUUUGAGAACCCAUAGGCUAGCGACUACCUUGAGACAGUCCUUUACCUAGGCCUAUGGAUUAAAGGGUUUAGCUGAAACCCUAGAUUUUUCUCUGUAGUCUAAUAGAACUGCAAACAUUGUAAGAAUUGCUUGGUAGCAUAAGCUCAGGGAUAAGGUGGGAAUUUAGUUCAAAUAUAGUGUUUUAUCUUCCAUACAAAUCAUCUCUAUAGGAGUUAAAUUAGGAAGUCACAACAGCGCCUGUUGAACAAACUCAUCGGUGUGGUAAUCCUAUGAGGGAUAAUUGUAGAAAGGUUUUAGAGACUUGUGAGGUUCCAUAUGAUAAUUCUUUACACACACACACACCCCCACAAGAGAAAGUACACAGGGCUAUUCUGUAGUAUUGUUCAGGGAAAUCAGCAUGAUAGAUGCUGUGCCUCCAAAGAGUUCUCUGGAGAUUACUACCCAAAUGUGUAUUUUGGCAAUUUGGUGGUAUUUAGGAUGUAAUAUGUUUUCCUCCAUUUCUGCUAAUUUUCUCUCUCUCUCUCCCUCUCUCUCUCUCUCUCUCAUAACAUACUAUACAUGUUAAUUGCCAAGAUUUGAAUGAGUCAAAUUUAGUAGCUUGCUGCUUUUAUUUUUUAAAUGGCUUCUUUUAUGUAUUGGGGGGGGCAGGGUAUGAGGCUUCUCAGCUUUCAUUGAAAGUGAAGCUGUACAAUAACCACAUUGACCACUGUAGGAUGAUGAAAGAGAAUAUAGGCUAGGAUGCACACAAGAGGGGGGAAAAGGCAUUAUUAGUGAAGAUAGGAGUUACAAAGCAAAGCAAAGUCAGUAUUCAGAUAGAGAACAGAGCCUAAUCUGAUGUUUGCAGGGAGUUCCUAGAUCACAUUUGGCAAUCUACACAUUAUUUUAUUGACCUAUCCAGUGCUCCAAAAUGUGUUCCAAAAUAUUUUGGCAUUUUAUUUGUACUAUAUAGGAAUCUUUGGGGGAGUCCAUGAAAUUUGUUUUCCUCUUAGGUCAAAGGACUGAUAAAUAACUUUGGUUCUUAAGGAGUAUGCCCUUUAGCAAUAAGAACAGCAAUAACAUUUUACCCUGCAGUUUUUUCUCUAAAAUAUGUCAUCAUUAGUCUUCAUGAGGAUGUUUACCAUUUUUGAAGUUUUGCGUAAAUUAGCCUUGAAGAUUACACUAUAACUGAGGUCAUCAGCAUUGACUUAUGGCCAGCAAAGGACAUGCUCAUGGCCCUGGAGAGAUGAGGACACAAAACAAAUCAAUUUCCCCACUUACUGAAGGACUCCCCUUACCUUCUGUCUCUGCUGAGACCUUGACCCAUUAAUUAUUUUACUCUCCUUUUUGGAAAUUUGCAACCAGUCCUUCUCAACAAUGUACUCCCUUUAGUACAUUGAAGAAAAAGAGAAGGGAAUUAUUUGAGUCCUGAUCACGAUGCAUUGAAAACUUCCUAUGUGAGAUGUUUCUGUUUUUACAUCUCUUCCAGGUGUCCCUGAGUAUAUAAGCAUGGGUCUGUGUCUACCAAGCUCACUGUAGAGUUACUUUUACCUUUUGCUAUGGUGGAAUGGGAUCUGUAGGGUCAGGAACACAGCACCUAACACAGUGUCUUAUGGAUAGUAGUUUUUUAUAAUACAGAUGUGUUGGAAGAAUAAA